rnacentral:rRNA from 1 species
GACGAACGCUGGCGGCGUGCUUAACACAUGCAAGUCGAACGGAAAGGCCUCUUUCGUGGGGUACUCGAGUGGCGAACGGGUGAGUAACACGUGAGUAACCUGCCCUUGACUUUGGGAUAACUUCGGGAAACUGGGGCUAAUACCUGAUAGGAGCUCCUGCUGCCUGGUGGGGGUUGGAAAGUUUCGGCGGUUGGGGAUGGACUGGCGGCGUAUCAGCUUGUUUGUGGGGUAGUGGCUUACCAAGGCUUUGCCGGGUAGCCGUCCUGUGAGGGUGACCGGCCACAUUGGGACUGAGGGAAGGCCCAGACUCCUACGGGAGGAAGAAGUGGGGAAGACUGCACAAUGGGUGGAGGCCUGAUGAAGCAAGGCCGUGUGCGGGAUGACGGCCUUCGGGUUGUAGAACGAUUUCGCUCAUGACGAAGCUUUGUGUGACGGUAGUGGGUAAAGAAGCACCGGCUAACUACGUG